rnacentral:rRNA from 1 species
UACGUAGGGUGCGAGCGUUAAUCGGAAUUACUGGGCGUAAAGCGUGCGCAGGCGGCUUUGCAAGACAGAUGUGAAAUCCCCGGGCUUAACCUGGGAACUGCAUUUGUGACUGCAUGGCUAGGGUACUGGAGAGGAGACUGGAAUUUACGGUGUAGCAGUGAAAUGCGUAGAUAUCGUAAGGAAGACCAGUGGCGAAGGCGAGUCUCUGGACAGUUACCGACGCUGAGGCACGAAGGUCAGGGGGAGCAAACGGG